UGUUGGGAUUUUGAAAGGGAGGUCAAGGAAGUUCUUGCCAGAUGUUAUGUUUGAGGAGGGACCCGGAAAAAGGGAGUGAGGUGGGAGGUGGGUAUAUCUCUGGCUAAAGAGCAAUCAGAGGAGAGGGAGAUGUGAGUGCCCAGGGUUUACAGAGCCUGGGGGCCGGUGUGGCCACGGCCCAGGGAGGGAGGGGAGAAGAUGUGAGAUGUGGGGAGAAAGUCAUGCAGGAGCAGUAUUUAGGGUUUGGGGUCAUAGGGCUCUGGCUUCCUUUCUGAGUAAAAGGGGAAGCAGCUGCAGGGUUUCAGGAAAGGGGUGUGGUGACCUCUUGAAGUCCAUGAGACACUCCACCUAGGUGUUGGGUUGGGAUUAGAUGCCAUCGGGGAAGGGCAGAAGCAAGCACGCUGGUUAGGAGGCUCUUCAGAGAAUUCAGGUGAAGGAUGAUGGUGGCCUGAACCCAGGUGCAGAGUGGGCUAUGAGAAGUGAUUGAAUUAUGGAAAUAGUUUGAAUGUAGAGCUGAUGGGAUUUGCCAAUGAACAAAAUAUGGGCGUGGGAGAAAUAGAGGAAUCAAGAAUGGCAUUAAGCUUUUUGACCUGAUUAACUUAUGGAAUGAAGUUGCUGUUAAGUGGGGUGGCAAGACUGAGGGAGGAGAUUGAAAUAAGGUCAAGUUUCAGAUGUUGCUCAGAUAUCUUGCGAGAGUUGGGAAUAGGCAGUCUGGCGUUCGGAGCAGAGGUGUGAGCCAGCGAUUCAAAUUGAGUAGUUGUCAGCAUAUAUGCAGUACUUAAGGCUAGGAGACUGGGUGAGGUCACCCAGGAUAUGAGUGUAGGUGAGCAAGAGAAGAGAGCCAGGACUAAGUCCUGGGAGUCAUGGAGAGUCACCCUUAAAUUCUCAACUCUGACAAUCCCCGAAGAAACAAAACAGGUUGAACUUGCCUUUUCCCAUUAUAUUUGACCAUAGAACCCACAUUCAUCUUCAUAAUCAUGGAAAUGAUAUUCCAUUGAUCUCAUUUUGAAGAAGGCCACUUUAGGCUUGGGAGGUAGACUGAGGGCAUAAGGUGAAGAACUUUCCUUGUUCUGCUAAAGGGUUUGGACUUUAUCUUCCAGGUGGCAGGGGGCCACUGAGGGAUGUUAAGAGAAGAACUAUCAGGAUUACAAAUGUUGGUGGCAGUGUGGAAGGUGGCUGACGGAGGGGAGUCUGAAGGAAGAAGACAAGAAAAUAGAAUGCUGGCUGGAAAGUGCUGACAUUCCCCUGGCUACUCCAUGAGCCCUGGAAAGAAAGGAUGUUUCUGUCGUGUAGCUCUGGCACAUUGUAGGAUUGAGCUUUUCAGUCUGUGUUAGAAAAGACUCAUCAUAUGACUGACUUCAGCCAAUGAAGCAUAAGUGGAAGUGACAUGCAUCACCUCUGGAUGAAAGUCAGCAAGAGUCAGUUUAUAAUUUCCCACAUUUCCUUGCCCUUGUCAUGGUGACCAUGACGCUUCCAAUGAUGGAGGCUCUAUUUGUUUUUGUUCCUGAGUGAGACAACAUGGGGACGAGUCUCUAGUGGACUUGCAAGGCUUUAUUGUUUCAAGCGACUGAGCGUUGGGGUUUGUUACAAAGCCCAUACUGACUAAUGUGCUUUUAAUUCUUUAUUUACACAUUUAAAACGCUGCUUACAUUUUCUGAUCAGCAUAUGUGCAUUAUGGGGAACUUUGAAAAUACAGAAAAGUAUCAAAAAGAAAUAAACAUGCACUGAAAUUACCUAUACAGAAAUAAUUUCUGUUAAUAUUUUGAUGUAUUUUCUUUCUCUCUUUUUCUCAUAAAACUAAGAUCACACUAUAUAUACACUAUUGGUGUUUUUGGUUUAUAUUAUAUCAAUAGUCUUUAAAAUAUAUCAUCUGUGGCACAAUAUUAGUGAAGGAAUGUUGUAAUCUGUUUUUAUAUUUGUGUAUUUCCUAUUUAUAUUAUAUAUUCAAUAACAAAAUAACAUUGUACUUUUUUUUCUUUUUCUUGUUGUAAACAACAUCCCAAUGAUACAUUAGUACGUAUCUUCGUAUCUUCGCUCAGAUUGCUGCUUAUGUCCUUAGGGUAGAAGCUAGAAGGAGAAUUACUGGGCCAAGAAGUAUAAAUAUUUUUAAGACUUUUGCUACCUAUUGCAAAACUGCCCAGGAGAAAGGUUGUACCAAUUAGCACUGCAGCAAGGAGACAUGGGCCAUCUCUCCACCUCCGUUGACGGCUAGAAUUCCUUUUAAUCUCUGUUAAUUUGUCCCCCAAACACCAAACUGUUAAACAGAGAGCAACGCGGGAAGCCAGCAGCGCUGUUCUGUUGCCACGGAGCCUCAGCACGUGUUUUUGAAGUACACACACAAAUGGACAGAUGGAUGUACAUUUAUCUAUAAAUAUCAUCAGUCGGCGGAAUCCCCAGUAACAAAGAAAAAGUAGAGGCACCAAGAGUCUGAUACAAAGCCCAUCUACAAUGCUGUGAGGAAGUCCAGCAGCCACAAGGACUGUCCAGCCCACAGUCCCAGCCGAGAUCCCAGCCGGCAGCCAGUAUCAACCAGAA